rnacentral:rRNA from 1 species
UAUAUAGUAUUUCAUUGCUACAAGUAAGGAUUAUUGAAAAUAAUAAGACAUCGAUUUGGAUAUUUCUCCUUAACUAUUCAUGUCAACUAAACGGGGGGAUUGAAGAGAAUUUUGUGAAGAGAAAAUGGAUUAUGAGAGCGUCUGACUUGUACUAUUGAUUGGUCUGCGUAGAUAUAUGUCUGCCACAUGAGAAUUCACAACCAAAUGUGUCUUUGUUCCAAUCGUCGUGUAAGCCCUAUACAGAGGAUAGGUUUAUUCGCUUAAAGAGAAUCUUUUCUAUGAUCAUGUCCGAAUCAUGUUGUGCAUGAGCAGGCUCCGUAAGAUCAAGUAUAAGUGAACUAGAUAAAAUAAAAUCUUGAUUCCGUUUUAUCUAGUUCACUUAUAAGAUUAAAUAGUAUGUAAAUGUAUUCAUUUCGGUGAAAGGCGUAGAGAUCGGAAAGAACAACAACGGCGAAAGCACUCUGCUGGGCCAACGCUGACACUGAGAGACGAAAGCUAGGGGAGCGAAUGAGAUUAGAUACCCCAGUAGUCUUAGCCGUAAACGAUGGAUACUAGGCACUGUGCAUAUCGACCCGUGCAAUGAUGUAGCUAACGCGUUAGUAUCCGGCCUGGGGAGUACGUUCGCAAGAAUGAAACUCAAAGGAAUUGACGGGGGCCCGCACAAGCGGUGGAGCAUGUGGUUUAAUUCGAUGCAAAGCAAAGAACCUUACCAUGGCUUGGCAUGCAGUGAAUCCUCUUGAAAGAAAGGGGUGCCUUCGGGAACGCAGACACAGGUGGUGCAUGGCUGUCGUCAACUCGUGCCGUAAAGUAUUGGGUUAAGUCCCGCAACGAGCGCAACACUAGUGUUUAGUUGCCAUCGUUGAGUUAAGAACCCUGAACAGACUGUCGGAGAUAAGCCGGAGGAAGGUGAGGAUGACGCCAAGUCAUCAUGCCCCUUAUGCCCUCGGCGACACACGUGGUACAAUGGCCGGGANNNNNNNNNNNNNNNNNNNNGGGUGAGUUAACCCCCCAAAACCCGUCUUCAGUUCGGAUCGCAGGCUGCAACUCGCUUGCAUGUAGCCGGAAUCGCUAGUAAUUGCCGGUCAGCCAUACGGCGGUGAAUUCGUUCUCGAGCCUUGUACACACCGCCCGUCAUACUAUGGGAGUUGGCCAUUAGAUCUACGCCAGCAGAAUUAGUAAUGUGUCAGGAGAAAUUAGUACAAGAAGUCGUGGAUACACU